UAUAUAUAUAUAUAUAAUUUAUUAUAUCAUCUUUACUUCUUUUAACAUAUUUUAAAAUAAAAAAUCUUGUUUUUCAGUUUUUCUAAAUCUCUUGUUCCCUGGCAUGUUUUUUGUUUAGUUAUAAUAUAUAUUAUUUUAUAAUGCUUUGACCCAUUUUUUUUUUUUGUUUGUUUCCUUCGUGUCCCUCCACCCUACCUCUUCUUUUCCUUGAAAUUUUGGGGUUUUUUUUUUUUCGCUGCAUAAUGCGUAUCUCACUCAGUCCAUCAGAUUCUCUCUUCUCAGUUCUCUCACUCAGUCCCUCACUUUGGCCCCCCCAGUCACACGAUCCUGGCUCCGCCCCUGCGCCUCACCUUUUCUUCCUCUCACCUCCCCUACCCUCAUGUCUGUUCUUCUUCGGAUCUGGCUUUCUUAUUCAAACAAAUUAUCUCUUCUUUCUUUUUAGUCACUGUCUUCUUUGUUUGGAUCACAUAGAGAGAGAUUUAUUCACUUCGAUCCACAAGCAUAGCAAGACAAGUCAUCCUCCUUAUUUUUCUUUCUUUCUUUCUUUCUAUCACAGAUAAUCAAGGGAUGCGAUCAAGAGGAGUUAGCAACAUCUAACUCACCCGCAUCCCUGAUUAUCUAUGGUUGGAAGAAUAAGGAGGUUGAGUUUUCAUGCUCUGUCUGUACAUAGAUUUAUCACCAUCAUGCCCCUUGUGGCUGCUGGCCACAUGAUUUAUCCAGGAUAGCCCUGCAAUCUAAUCAAGCCACGGUUUGGUUUUUACUACAAACAAAAAUUUGGAUCUUCGAUUAUUGAAAUGAGACCAUAAGUCUUUGUUUCAUACUGUUACAUGAUCUAUGUUUGUUUAUUUUGCGAAGCUAUCCUCUAUAAAUCAUGUGGCCAACUGUCACAGUAGAUUCACUUUCACCCUCAUCAAUCUCCGAUAAUCUGUUGAUUAUGAUUUGCAAAGCUCAGCAAGGGUGGUGAAUUUACUUUGAUGUGGUGGUUGAAGAAGACUGCAAUGUAGAAAGCACAGAAAAGGAAGAAGAAAAUCAGGGGACUCAAGAUUGAUAGUACAUUUGCCACUCUUGCUGUGCUAGAUAAGGAAAUAGAGGCACUCAAGAAGAAACGUGCACGCCAUGUCUCAUUUCUCGAGCUCAAAUGUGGAGUCUUUGACUGGUGUUUCAGCAUCGAUUCACCGUGCUGGGGUUCUCUGCUGUGAUGUUAGAUAUGGGAGAUUUUGGUAGUUAUGUUCAGAAGUUGGGUAGUUAGCUUAUUUGCAUCUUCUUGGCUACUUCAACAAAUCAAACAAGUUGGUAUUCGGCAUAUUACCAUAAUAAUAACCAUAUCAGAAGUAAGGCCUUGUGGACCUGGAGGCUGUAGCACAGCAAUUCUCACUUUGUGUUUAGAUUGAAAUUUAUGAUUGAAAAGUUGUAUGUACGUAUCAACUGUAUCUCUUUUUAUUUGGUGUGUUUAUGCUAUUGAUAUGAAGAUGAUGCAGCUAUUGAAGUCUUCGCUAAAAAUUUGUUCUGAUAA